rnacentral:rRNA from 1 species
AUUGAACGCUGGCGGCAGGCCUAACACAUGCAAGUCGAGCGGAUGAAGGGAGCUUGCUCCUGGAUUCAGCGGCGGACGGGUGAGUAAUGCCUAGGAAUCUGCCUGGUAGUGGGGGAUAACGUCCGGAAACGGGCGCUAAUACCGCAUACGUCCUGAGGGAGAAAGUGGGGGAUCUUCGGACCUCACGCUAUCAGAUGAGCCUAGGUCGGAUUAGCUAGUUGGCGGGGUAAAGGCCUACCAAGGCGACGAUCCGUAACUGGUCUGAGAGGAUGAUCAGUCACACUGGAACUGAGACACGGUCCAGACUCCUACGGGAGGCAGCAGUGGGGAAUAUUGGACAAUGGGCGAAAGCCUGAUCCAGCCAUGCCGCGUGUGUGAAGAAGGUCUUCGGAUUGUAAAGCACUUUAAGUUGGGAGGAAGGGCAGUAAGUUAAUACCUUGCUGUUUUGACGUUACCAACAGAAUAGGCACCGGCUAACUUCGUG